UCAGGCAACGAGCGAGACCCACGCCAACAGUGCCAGCUCGGUCCUCCGGGGAUGGUGGGGACACUGUUGGGACCGCCUCUGCUAAAGAGGAGGAAGGAAUGGGCAACGGUAGGUCAGCAUGCCCCGAAUUAUCUGGGCUACACGCGGGCUACAAUGGGUGGGACAAUGGGUAUCGACACCGAAAGGUGAAGGCAAUCUCCUAAACCCAUCCGUAGUUCGGAUUGUGGGCUGCAACUCGCCCACAUGAAGCUGGAAUCUGUAGUAAUCGUGUCUCAAAAAUGGCACGGUGAAUAUGUCCCUGCUCCUU
rnacentral:rRNA from 1 species